rnacentral:rRNA from 1 species
CAGGAUGGUUAGCGGCGGACGGGUGAGUAACACGUGGGUAACCUGCCUGUAAGACUGGGAUAACUCCGGGAAACCGGACUAAUACCGGAAGUUCCUUGAACCGCAUGGUUCAAGGAUGAAAGACGGUUUCGGCUGUCACUUACAGAUGGACCCGCGGCGCAUUAGCUAGUUGGUGAGGUAACGGCUCACCCGGCGACGAUGCGUAGCCAACCUGAGAGGGUGAUCGGCCACACUGGGACUGAGACCGGCCCAAACCCCUACGGGAGGCAGCAUUAGGGAAUCUUCCCCAGUGGACAAAGUCUAACAGAACACGCCGCGUGAGUGAUGAAGGUUUUCGGAUCGUAAGCUCUUUUGUUAGGGAAAAACAAGUGCGAGAGUAACUGCUUGCACCUUGACGGUGCCUAACCGAGGGCCGCGGCUGACUACAUGCCAUCACCCGCGGUUAUGCUUAUGUGGCUUGCUUUGUCCGGAUUUAUGGGGCGUAGCGGGGCUCGCAGGCGGUUUCUUAUCGCUAUAUGUUUAAGCCCCCGGCCCACCCGGCCAGGGUCAUUGGGCUCUGGGAUCUUGAGUGCAAAAAAGGAGAGGGAGAUUCCCCCGUGUAGCGUUAUAUGCUUAAAGUUGUGAAGAACACCGUUGCUAAAGGCAACUCUCUCGUCUGUGUCUCACUCUGAGACCCGAGGCCUGAGGAGCGAACCGGAUUCCUUCCCGGGUUCUCCCCGCCCUAACAUUAUAGGCGCGUCUUAGGGGGGUUCCCCCCCCGUCUGCCUCCCCCUAUCCCCAGUGCCCUUCCCCCCGGGGCGUAGUGGGGGC